rnacentral:rRNA from 1 species
UACGUAGGGGGCAAGCGUUUGUCCGGAUUUAUUGGGCGUAAAGAGCUCGUAGGUGGUUCGGUAAGUCGGGUGUUUAAACCCCCCCAGCUCAACCUGGGGACGCCACUCGAUACUGCUGUGACUAGAGUCCGGUAGGGGAGCGUGGAAUCCUGGUGUAGCGGUGAAAUGCGCAGAUAUCAGGAGGAACACCAGCGGCGAAGGCGGCGCUCUGGGCCGGUACUGACACUGAGGCACGAAAGCGUGGGGAGCAACAGG